UACCAGAGUGGCCAAAUGGGGCUGACUGUAACUCAGCUGGCUUUCGCCUUCGGUGGUUCGAAUCCAUC
rnacentral:tRNA from 1 species